AUUUGCGUCUGCGCAAUGCUCUUGUUAAAGUUAAUGUGCACUAUUUCUAUUUAACUUAUUCUACCUCAUGUAUUCAAUGAAACUUCCCUCAUAGGUUUGGGUCUUUGUUUGAGGUAACUGACCAAUGUCAAUGAUUCUGACCUGCAAUUUAGCAUAAUUGUGCCUCUUUUUACCUACUUAACAAAUAAGUUUUCUGCAUACAUGUGGUUAUAAUGUACACUGUGCACGAGGAUAACGUGAAAUAAAAAAACAGUCGCGAUUUCGCCGACGUUUAACCGUUUUGUGAUCAAUCGUAGCAAGGAUAUAACAUCAGAAAAAUGGAUUCAAAUAUGCGACAUGCAUACUGCACUGCACGAAAAUGGUCCCCGACAAAAGUACCUGCACCGACAUAUUUACUUACAUCGAUAUACACCAGCCUUGGCCCCGACGUCCAGACCGACACAUUCACUGACCUGGAUAACACAUCAAGAAUGACACUAACACCGUCAACAGACGGCCCCAACAUUUAGCCCGACAUCAACACCGACAAGAGCUGCGUCCACGGCAUCAAUGCUAAUGCCAUCACCAACAGCCAUGGCCCAGACUACCAGACCGACACAAACGCUGACACAGACUAGGCCCCGAUAUCCCGUCCGACACCAUUAUUGACAACAAUACUUGCCCCGUCAUACAGACGGGCACCGACACUCGACAUCCGACCCGGCCCAAAAAGAACGGUCCCGCACAGGCUUAUCAGAGACGACAUUUUCCACCUCAACUUGAUUUUCGCUCACAAGAGACUUUCUUUAAUCAAACAAAUAUCAUAAAAAGUGAAAAUUACGUCGCACAAGCUAAUCUGGGACCUUACUUCACGUACAUGCAUUAAGCCCCGUUUUCCAGAGCGCGGCUUCAAUACAACUAAAAUGCGGUCCAACAGCCAUUUUUCUUCGGUAUUGGAUAUAUAUUAAUUUUCAAACAAGAUUAGGGAAGAAAAACAUACUAGUGGUGGGUUCUUAUGUGUAGACUCUUCUGUUUGUCGAUAUGAUAAAGAUUUCAUGACGGACAAAAUGAAACAACGGCAUCUUGUUACUAUUAAAGUAUGCAUUUUAUAAUACAAUAAAAGAAGAAAGAGUGAUUUUAUGUUUAAAAGGAAACUUAUUCACAUAGUUGUGUACUUUAAAAAAAACGUCAUUAAAUUUGGUUUUUAGUUUUAGAUAGUCUCAGCUGAUUAAUUCGCAAGAUAACUGUUGACUAAAACUAAUGCCUUCCCCGAGAUUCCAACCCGGGACCUCUGUAAGCAAAAUAUCUUGCGUAACCACUGCGCCUCGCAGGCUUUUGUCGUCCUGAGGGAAUCAUAAACGUUACUAUAGUAUUCCAUGUAUUUUUUCAAAUUACGGAGGAAAAGCGUUAGACAUUUUCUUAUUUUACCGAUAUUGAAUUAUUAUUAUAAAUUAAUUAACCAAUAUAUGUUGAUAUAGUUGUUGGUCAUGCGUGUUAUUUCGCUUGUUUGAACAUAAUGCAUGCAUUCUUAUUUUAAUAUAUUACUAUUAUUUUAAGAAAUCGUUAUUUUACCAAAGAGUGAAUAAUUCCUAGUAAGGUUGUUGAAAAUAUGUGUGUUCAUUUAAUACUUAAAUUGAUGGUAGCUUAUACGUAUGCACUAUAAAAAUGCAUUUCGGAUCAAUAUAUAUUAUAAAAUAUUUAAGUUUAAUAUGUAUGCUCAAUCUGUUAAUUUGCCACAUUAUUAGAUACGUUGAUGCUUAUGACGUAGGUUUAUGUAAUUUGUAAGAUUAGUCUAUGUCCGUAAUUUGCAUAAGCUUGCCGGCAAAGCACAACAUGAUUUGCACUCCAAUAUGCACUAUAAAGCGAUUGGUAUAUUCAAUUGUUAGAACGUAGAAACAUGCUCUGAAUCAUCUAGCGAAAGUGUGAAAUCGCCGUAUGACAAGCAUGCCAUUAACGCUAGUCGAAACACUACAUUUACAUCCACUUACCGUCACUGAUGUUGCUGAUUACCGAGCGUGGCAUUAAGCUUAUGUUUGUAUUAUUCGAUUUCAACUACAGCCUUGGGAAAAUGUGAUCGUGGUUGAUUUAACAUCGGCUAACGCGUAUAACACAUUCAUAAUACAAUUCUUAACACUUGUUUUAUAGCGGUUGCAUUGGAUUUGCUUAAUUUUAUCAUCAUAACAUACGGUUGCACAUGAACGUUCAAACAUACAUUCGAACAUAAGAAGUUUAAUGGUGGUGUCAUCACUUGUUAUACAUCUUGCAUCAGUCGCUAUGACCUAUGGUUGUAUUGCGGCUCCCGAUAUACCGGUGACCGUGCCGCGGAAACCACUUCCGGCGUAGGUGCAUGUGUCGAGAGAAUCCAUUCCGGCCCCGAUGACUUUGUCGAGGGGCCCACGUCUAAAUCCGACGGCUGUGCCGAGGGAGCCACUUCCGGCCCCGUCGGCUUCGUCGAGAGAACCACUUCCGCCGCUCGAGUGCCCAAGGACGUGCGUACUCCCAGCAUGUGCUGAUAUUUAUACGCCGCCAGGAAGUUGCUGUCCGAUUUGCCGACUACCAGGUGAAGAGAGGUCAGGCCAGUGUCCAAAUCCGUGGAUGUUUGCUACAUGCGUCUUUAACAUGUGCAGCACUGAUUUCGACUGCCCGGCGCCCCAGAAGUGUUGCAGAAACAUAUGUAGUGGCCGUGUGUGCAGACUACCCGCACAACCGCAAGUUGAGCAAAUCGUUUGUGAGAAGAAUGGACACACGUACAUUAAUGGCGAGAGUGUUCCCGAUAAUGACCCGUGUAAACGCUGCAGUUGUAGAAGAGGUCUUAUCAUGUGCGCAAUGAUGUCGUGUGCCGCGUGUGAUGGCCCCAGACUCCCUGGGCAAUGUUGUCGUUCCUGUUUGCCACAGCCUGUGGCCAUGGCGUAAAAUUGCUUCUGUAUAUUUUCAACCUUCAAGAAAACGAAUUCGUAUGGAAACUCCCUAAAUAUAUAAUUCUUCAUGAAUGUUGCAGUCCAAUGUCGGUAGUAAUGUUUGUAUUUGACUGUGUCCGGUGGCUUUCGUUUGCAGUGCUUAUUGUUGUAUAUUAAAAUGAACUGAACAAUAGGCAUGUGUUAUAUAAAUAUUGUAAUCGCUAUGUUAGAAUGCAAAUGGAUGAUAGCGUCCUGUAAGCCUAAAAAUGUCCCCACGUGUUGGUUUUGCAUCUGUAAUAUUUAAUUGAAGCUAUAAACAUGCUCAUCCAGAAAUCGGUUAAUGGUGUUGAUGUCUCUAUGUGUGCACAUCCAAAAUAAAUCUGAGUCGUGCUCUGUGAAAACGGGGCUUAUCGCAUGUGUAAAGUGUCGUUCCAGAUUAGCGUCUGUAGUCCGCACAUAUUAAUCAGAUACGACUCUUUCCGCUUAAACUGGAUUUUUUUGCUAUGAAUAGAAUUCUUUCAACCGAAAAAUACCAUAAAAGCGGACAGUGUCGUUCCUGGUUAUCCUGUGAGAACUAAAUAAGGUAAUAUGUGACAGUACAUGCAUUAAGCCCCGUUUUCCCCGACCGCGUCUCAUAUUCCUUCGUUAGGUUUUAGUUUAUUUAUGUUUUGCUUUGAUGACUAGGUACUAUUGGGGACAAUUAUCAGGAUGCAGGAUCACGUGACUUUGUGGGGUUCCCACUUUCGUAGAUGUAUACACGACGUUACAGUUGACCCUUCUAUACGGCCUCCGCAGGUAUUGCCGUGCAACACUACAAUUGACGACUGCAUGCAAUCGUAGGUGUCCGACGGGUCAUGUAGAAGAUACUGAAGUCGACAGACUCCCGAGUGUGUACCACAACCAAACGGAACGUACAGUGUAACAGUGAAUGACGCACUUUGGUCUCGCGGAAACGUUGCAGAUAGCGUCACCUUGAAUCUUGUCAAGUCGUCCCCACCAGGUGUGCAUGAGUCCCCUGGAGCUGAAACCCCCAUGGUGUUUGCCAAUUAUCUUACGGAUUGAUGUCGGUCUGUAUGAUUCUACUGCUUCCAACAAGAAGCUGCAGCUUCGUGUAGAUCCUGAUAUAUUUACAACCAAGGAUGUACCCAUGCAUGUUGAUGGCGAUGGAUUCGUAGUUGAUUUGCCGGAACAGCAUGAAAGAAAUCCUAUCAGACGCUUCAUUCUCUACGAACCAGUAACGACAAGUAACUGUCGUGUAGAGGUCCAUGAUAAAAGGAUCAGAAAAUGCUAAAACGAAUACCAUGAUCGAACGACCACUAACCGCUUGGUCGAAUUCCAUGAUCGAGAUUACGGACUAAUAACUCUAGAAUUACAAGCAAUGUAUAUAUGCCACGAACAAGUGCGGACACCACGCGCAUAAUAAUGUUAUCCCAAAUGACGGGGAUUUGUUUUGCAGACGUGUAACACAUUUAUUUAAAGUUUACAUGGAAAGUAAUGGAAAUAUUAUUGUGUUUUUAAAUUUAUGUUACACAGUCUAAAAUGUGAACUACGUAAUAAAAUAAGUAUACGAUAAAAUAAAACUCAAGAAGUCAUAUCAUUUUUCAGAAAUGAAAAAUUAAAUGACUUGUUUUGUUAGUGGGUAGUUAUUAGUGUUUUUCUUAUGAUAACUAAGUUUCUUAAAGGACAAAAUAUAUCUCAACAAUUUUCAUUUAAUAGAAGAAGACAUGUUAAAUAACUGUGACAUUUUUUAUUUAUAAUACUAUAAUUAAGUUUUGUUUGCUAAAUUCUAUGUCUUUUUAUAUUUGUGUUGCUUUUUCAUUUUGUGGAUUUAUCUUGUAUUUUGUAAACUGACGUGUGUAUACUAAUGUUAUUUAUAAUGUUAUCUUGUCCUGCUUUUUAAACACUUACAAAAUUCAUACAGAAUACAAGAUAAACGACCACUUGACAUUUAAACAAAUUGUCAAAAUCAAUUGAUUUUUUUCGUGGCUUAAACAUUUAACUAUUAAAUUUUUUGUGUUUUCUAAUUUAUAUUACAGUACUUCUAUCACACUUUUUGUAUGAUCAAGCAAAGCUUAUCCAAAUAUAAGCGAUCAACCAACACUUAUUGCACAUGCUAAUAUGACUCAUAAUUUAUCUACUUGGAUCAAACGUCGGGAGAAAGGCGGUAGACAUUCGUAAAAGUCCAUUCUUACACUAUGUUAUAUGUCAUCUAUAUGAAGAUACCAUAAUGUCUUGGGAUUAUGUAUUAUUAAUAUAGAUGUAGUUUUUUUAUAAAUUAUACGCACUUAACCCAUUUUUACUGUUGUAUGAAACGCAUCAUAUUUUAACAAUCAGAUGUGUACACCCUAGUUGUUGUUUUUUUGCACUUUUCAAGAAAUCAGAAAUAAAUU